rnacentral:siRNA from 1 species
CACGGAUAUCCGGUUUUUCGGAUC